rnacentral:rRNA from 1 species
UACGGAGGGUGCAAGCGUUAUCCGGAUUCACUGGGUUUAAAGGGUGCGUAGGCGGGCAGGUAAGUCCGUGGUGAAAUCUCUGAGCUUAACUCAGAAACUGCCAUGGAUACUAUUUGUCUUGAAUAUUGUGGAGGUAAGCGGAAUAUGUCAUGUAGCGGUGAAAUGCUUAGAUAUGACAUAGAACACCCAUUGCGAAGGCAGCUUACUAUGGUCUUAUUGACGCUGAGGCACGAAAGCGUGGGGAUCAAACAGG